rnacentral:rRNA from 1 species
AGUGAACGCUGGCGGUAGGCCUAACACAUGCAAGUCGAACGGAAGGACAAUAAGCGCUUGCUCUUACGGUUGGCGAGUGGCGGACGGGUGAGAAAUAGAUAAGAAUCUACUAUUUCGGGGGGGAUAACGUAGAGCAACUGAUGCUAAUACCGCAUAUGAUCUACGGGUGGAAGCAAGGGAGCUUCGGAGCUUGCGUGACUGUUUGAGACGGAGUCGGAUUAGCUAGUUGGCGAGGUAAGGGCACACCAAGGCGACGAUACGUAGCUGGUCUGAGAGGAUGAUCAGCCACACUGGAACUGAGACACGGUCCAGACUCCUACGGGAGGCAGCAGUGGGGAAUAUUGGGCAAUGGGCGCAAGCCUGACCCAGCCACGCCGCGUGGGUGAUGAAGGCCUUCGGGUCGUAAAGCCCUUUUAUUAGGGAAGAACAUAUGUAUAUUUAACUGCCGCCGUUCUGACGGUACCCAAUCAGAAAGCCCCGGCUAACUUCGUG